GACGAACGCUGGCGGCGUGCCUAACACAUGCAAGUCGAGCGAAUGAAGUUCCUUCGGGAAUGGAUUUAGCGGCGGACGGGUGAGUAACACGUGGGCAACCUGCCUCAUAGAGGGGAAUAGCCUUCCGAAAGGGAGAUUAAUACCGCAUAAGAUUGUAGUACCGCAUGGUACAGCAAUUAAAGGAGCAAUCCGCGAUGAGAUGGGCCCGCGGCGCAUUAGCUAGUUGGUGAGGUAACGGCUCACCAAGGCGACGAUGCGUAGCCGACCUGAGAGGGUGAUCGGCCACAUUGGGACUGAGACACGGCCCAGACUCCUACGGGAGGCAGCAGUGGGGAAUAUUGCACAAUGGGGGAAACCCUGAUGCAGCAACGCCGCGUGAGUGAUGACGGCCUUCGGGUUGUAAAGCUCUGUCUUCAGGGACGAUAAUGACGGUACCUGAGGAGGAAGCCACGGCUAACUACGUGCCAGCCGCCGCUGUAAGAC
rnacentral:rRNA from 1 species